CCUUCGGGGAAUAGCAACGGCGUCGAGCGGCGGACGGGUGAGUAAUGCCUAGGAAAUUGCCCUGAUGUGGGGGAUAACCAUUGGAAACGAUGGCUAAUACCGCAUGAUGCCUACGGGCCUUUGAGGGGGACCUUCGGGCCUCUCGCACUGGGAUAUGCCUAGGUGGGAUUAGCUAGUUGGUGAGGUAAGGGCUCACCAAGGCGACGAUCCCUAGCUGGUCUGAGAGGAUGAUCAGCCACACUGGAAAGUCGACACGGUCCAGACUCCUACGGGAGGCAGCAGUGGGGAAUAUUGCACAAUGGGCGCAAGCCUGAUGCAGCCAUGCCGCGUGUAUGAAGAAGGCCUUCGGGUUGUAAAGUACUUUCAGUCGUGAGGAAGGCGGCGUCGUUAAUAGCGGCGUUGUUUGACGUCGAUGACAGAAGAAGCACCGGCUAACUCCGUGCCAGCAGCCGCGGUAAUACGGAGGGUGCGAGCGUUAAUCGGAAUUACUGGGCGUAAAGCGCAUGCAGGUGGAAAGUUAAGUCAGAUGUGAAAGCCCGGGGCUCAACCUCGGAAUAGCAUUUGAAGUCAGCAGACUAGAGUACUGUAGAGGGGGGUAGAAUUUCAGGUGUAGCGGUGAA
rnacentral:rRNA from 1 species